rnacentral:rRNA from 1 species
GAUGAACGCUGGCGGCGUGCCUAAUACAUGCAAGUCGAGCGAACAGAUAAGGAGCUUGCUCCUUUGACGUUAGCGGCGGACGGGUGAGUAACACGUGGAUAACCUACCUAUAAGACUGGGAUAACUUCGGGAAACCGGAGCUAAUACCGGAUAACAUAUUGAACCGCAUGGUUCAAUAGUGAAAGGCGGCUUUGCUGUCACUUAUGGAUGGAUCCGCGCCGUAUUAGCUAGUUGGUAAGGUAACGGCUUACCAAGGCAACGAUACGUAGCCGACCUGAGAGGGUGAUCGGCCACACUGGAACUGAGACACGGUCCAGACUCCUACGGGAGGCAGCAGUAGGGAAUCUUCCGCAAUGGGCGAAAGCCUGACGGAGCAACGCCGCGUGAGUGAUGAAGGUCUUCGGAUCGUAAAACUCUGUUAUCAGGGAAGAACAAAUGUGUAAGUAACUGUGCACAUCUUGACGGUACCUGAUCAGAAAGCCACGGCUAACUACGUG